GCACAAUAAUAUUUAACAUUUAGUAUUUACUGUUAUAUUCCCAUAGAUCAUCGUGAUGUUGUUUAUUCUAUUGCUCUAGUCUUCUUCUGCUUCUUUUCUUUUUUCUUUCUCAACAGGUGAUCCAGGAAAAGAAAAAGAGAAAAAAAAGGACACAAAGACAAAGGUGAUGAAGCAGAUUUUCAUUGUCUUUUCUCUCUAUCUCUUUUCUCCUUUUUCUUUCCCUGCUACAGUGCCAGACAGGACACAAAAAAAGAAAAAGGUAGACUGUGACUUUAAAAUCUGUUUCUUUCCUUUCUUUUGUUGUUUCUCUUAAAUAUUGAAAUAGUGAGUAUGUUUAACAUAGAAUAGAAGGGAGAUGAUUAGGCACCUCAGAUGAAUAUGUGUAAGCUUGAUGUAUCAGUCUUUGUGAGCACUUUUUAAAGUGUUGGCUCUCAAACUGAGCAAGCUGAGCAGGUUGUUUUGACCAGCUCAUUCAUCUCGACCCGAUGGGACAGACUAAUCUGUCUUGCUCACAGAUAAUAUAUAAUCAAGAUUAACUGAUAAGCAAGCUGAGGUUUGUUCAAAGUCUGGAGGAUAACCUUCUGAUAAAUGCAUCCUUGAAAAUGAGGAUCAUUUCCUUCUUUCCUUCUCUUUGUCCCAGCGACUUUUUUCGCAUGACCUCAUAGCCAAAGCUGCAGCCAUGCAUUAUUUUUCCCUUUGAUCUGAUACCUUGCAGCAGCUUUAAUUCUUGUCUCCAAAAGUUCUAAGAGCGUACCUUUCAGAUUUGCAGCCAACAUGUGGAGGCAUUUAAACAACGGAGGGCUGCCAGCAGUUCCCUUUUAAGGUAGAAUGAUUUCCAAACAGUGAGAGCAGUCCUUUUAAAAUUGGACGCACUCAGGGAGGAGAUUGUUAGCGUUGUUUGUGCUUUUGGUGGAUGGUAUUUUCCCGGCGCCCCAAUAAUCUUCUGAUUGCUUUUUUUUUUUUUUUUUUUUUUUUUUUACAAGUUUUGCAGUGCAUUUUCAAGGAAAAUAACUACUACAGCCUAAAACCACCGAUUUCUACAAGUUAUUUACAGAAAACUUUGAGGAACAUGACACUUCUUCAUUUGCACGUUGUAUUUGUGAAUGUGUCUGAAUAGCAUAGGCCUUUAAUAUGCAUCUGCGGACACUGCAAGGCUUAAAAUAGAGAUUUGCACCCAAGCUUUAAAAUGAUGUUCUGUCAAGAGAAAGCCAAUUCGCCGACUACAUGCUCAUAAGUGAAUGAAGCGCUUUUAGCCAUUCUAUGUCAGCUGCAGGUUAGAAAAUGUGCUUAUAAUAAUACUGUAAAAUGUAGGGCUUUUUGUAAAAUGUAAAUGAAAGCCGACUAUAAUAACUCGAAGCUUAUUUCAUUUUAAAUAUAAUCAUCAAAAGAAGAAGAUUUUGACCAUGUUUACCCAUGUGCUAUGUUGCCUCUUCUUUUAAAAACACUCAAAAACAAGGAUUUGAUAACUGAACAUUCCAGUUGCUGUAGUUUAGAAAUGGAACUGUUUUGUCUGCUCAACGUUCAGGAAGCUCUUUGUCAUAUUUUGGUUUCUCAGUCAGCCAAAAGUUUUUCACUUUCAGGUUGGAACUGCAGAUAGGCUGGUUUAGCACCUGGACCCUUUUUUUUUUUUUUAACAGCGCAAUGACGUGCAGAAUCUGGGUGGACAUUUUGUUCCUGAAUUAAACAAGGCCUUCCCUGAAAACGAUGUCAUCUGGAUUGCAACACAGUAUGUGGCUCCAUUCCCAAACCUGUGUUUGUAACUCAGUAUCAACAGCGCCGUCACAGAUGUGCAAGUUACCCAUGCUAUGUAGUCGUUUAACGUCAAAGUUGCUGGUCUUUGAAUCGUGUGACGCUAACAUGCCAGAUGGUCCCGUUCUUCUUUGGCCCAAGGGAUGUGCUGUCCCCGAUUUCCAAAAAAGAAUUUCAGCUUUUGAUAGGUGCGAUUGUGCCGUGUCUGGUGUUUGUUUAUAAAUGUUUUCUGUUGCGCACAAGAGUUUUCGCUUGCUUUUUUGGGGUUUCACUGUCAGUGGAUUUCAGAGGUCUUCCUGAGCUCAUGAGCUGACAUCUGCUACAGAUUUUCAAUGCAGUGCUGUCUGAGGGCCUGAAGCCAUCCAAAAAUAUUGUUCAGCCUUGUGUCUGGAAUACAUGCAACUUGUGGGGAUAGGUUAAUUGGAUAAUCAUUUCUGUAUAGCUGUAUAUCUCAGAUUCUGUAAAGUUAUUUAUUUCAUAUUCUGUAUAGUUUUUCAUAUUUAU
ensembl:lncRNA